CAGUAUAUCAGCACUUUUUGGCACCAUAUAUCCAUUGAUUUCUGUGUCACUUUCGGCUUGGCGAACUAGGAAUGGGGCAGGAGGGUGAAGACGAAAGGUUUCUUUAAUAACCGAUCGCAAGUAAGGAAGAUUUGAGAUAUCUGAUUCUUGAACCAGCUCGUUUUGUGGAAUGAUUUCCAUGAUCUCAUCCCUAGCUUUUGAUUUUUUUUCAGGGUUGCGUAGUAACUCUGCCAUUGCCCAUUCCACGGUGACUGAACUUGUUUCUGUCCCUCCAACUAAUAAAUCAUAAAAUAGAGUGGAGUCGGAAUCAAAUUAUGGUCAUCGGGUGAUUUUUUUUUAUUUUCAUAAUUCAGGAGUUAUAUAUUAGGAGUAUAGGACCAGUUAUAUAUAUAAAGUAUGCAUUGAAUGUAUAGGUGCAUUAAUAUUACUCACCAGAAUCAAAUUCUUCAUGCCCAUGUAGCUCAAUACAGAUUCAUUUUGCUGAUUAAGAUCAAGGAGGGUUUCCAAGAAGUCAUUUUUCCUGAGAUAAGUGUUGGAUGUGUUUCUUUCUUGUGAUCUCUG
rnacentral:lncRNA from 1 species